UCGGGUGAGAUUAUCAAUAAUCUAUGGUGCAAACACCAGAUAACGAUAUUCUACGAAUUUUAGAUACAUUUUGUAACCUAAUCAGCCAAAGACGGUCGAAAGAAGCGUUAAGUUUCAUACCAACCGUUGAAGUGUACACACCUAGUUUGUGAACGUGAAUGAGCAAUUGCUAUUCAAGUGUAACUAAGGACUGAAUUCUUGAAAUGAUUGUCAAUUUCUCACAUGUGAGAAUAAAACUGUUGUUCUGUGUAAACAUGGAAAAACAAUGCGUGGUAUGAAUGAUUGACGAAUGAGCCAGAAUUGAUCUGUGAAGAGUGAGUUCUUAUUUGUGAGUGAACUUUACUGAGGUUUUUGAUUCGAUAACGUUGAUAGAACCAUCCCAAACAGUGCUGUCAUAAAGUACAAAACAAUCCAAUGGAAACAUCUGUACAACUGGUUCUACAAAAUUUCAACAAGUCAGCUUUCAUCACGUUUUUUUGAGGACCAAGGUCUCGCGGAAAUUUUACCGAGGCUAACAUUUUGAUAGUUUUAGGAAGCUACUCAUCUUUAUCAAAGCAACGAAAUAUGGCCCCUACCAAUAACAAAAGAUCCCCCUUACAAGGCGCCGUUUACCACAUUCGAUUGACGAUGAUCAUUCUUUUCCGGGCAUUCGCAUUGCACCGCCAAGGAAAGUUGCCCCAAUUUGAGUUAAAGAUGGAGGUUCCAGAUACAGGAAAGUUCGACGACCUGGUGUUUCGCUACUCAUCGCCAUCGAUAUCGGAAGGUACUGUCUACAUACAAGCUAAACAUAAAUAUCCAUCCGAAAAGCCAACGAAAUCGAAAAAAAUCCAUCCAAACCAUCCGUACACACCAACGCGAAAAGAGCGACCAGCCAUUACGGAAGGAACGCUGCUCACGAAAUGGAACUCCAAUGGGCCAUUUUCAAUCGCUAAGUACUUCAUUUCGUAUCUGGAAGGAUAUGAAAGAUUGAGCACAGGUUCGCAUACAUACUUGCUGUGCACAAAUGCAACGAUUGACAACAAAUUGAAACAAAAAUUAACAUUACGGCCACAGGACAGCAGCGAGAUACUUUCCUUUUGCGACGCUAUAGGA